rnacentral:tRNA from 1 species
CUGAAUAUAGUUCAAUUUGGCAGAACGCUACGUUUGGGGCGUAGAGGUUGUAGGUUCAAAUCCUACUAUUCAGA